rnacentral:lncRNA from 8 species
AAACAUGGCCCACCUGGAGCCUACGUCCCCACGGUGGACGACAAUGGACAAUACACCCCUGAGCAAUGUUCGGGCUCUACAGGUUAACAGUGACGCACAUGCACACGAAAUUCACUUGAAUGUGAUAAUUCAAUGUGUAUAUAUUGUAUAUGCAACAUGUCUUUCUGGUAGGUUACUGUUGGUGUGUGACCAGCUACGGACAGAAGAUCCAGGGUACAGAGACCCCACCAGGCACUGCUAUCAACUGCUAGCAACUGUUCCACCAAGGAACUGAUUCACAUUCCAUACAAAUAAAUACAUGACGGAAUCCAGAGAUUAAACUGUAUUUACUUACUUUAUUGUUGGUGUGAUAUGCUGAACAAUUUAUCUGAACCAGUCCAUUUCUGGGAAAUAGAGGAAGGAGUAGGACUGUAUUACCACCACACCGGCGGUUACAGGACAUGAAGACAGUCAAAUUCCACGUGACC